rnacentral:rRNA from 1 species
UAAUGUAUGGGGAUCUGCCCGAUAGAAGGGGAUAACUACUGGAAACGGUGGCUAAUACCGCAUAAUGUCUACGGACCAAAGCAGGGGCUCUUCGGACCUUGCACUAUCGGAUGAACCCAUAUGGGAUUAGCUAGUAGGUGGGGUAAAGGCUCACCUAGGCGACGAUCUCUAGCUGGUCUGAGAGGAUGAUCAGCCACACUGGGACUGAGACACGGCCCAG